rnacentral:pre_miRNA from 1 species
UUGGUUUGUCUGAAGUCAAACUUGCUAAACUUUGAUCAUAUUUUUAGAAAAAUAUAACAACAUCUACAAUACCAAAUUUGUUUCAUUGAAUCCACCAUGGAUUAAACUUUAACCAUAUUUUUAGAAAAAUAUAAUAACAACCAUACUACCAAACAUAUACACUAUCAAAAUAUAUUCCAUGAUGGAUUCAAUGAAACAAAUUUGGUAUUGUAGAUGUUAUUAUAUUUUUCUAUAAAUAUGGUCAAAGUUUAGUAAGUUUGACUUCAGACAAACCAAA